rnacentral:rRNA from 1 species
AUUGAACGCUGGCGGCAGGCCUAACACAUGCCAGUCGAGCGGAUGAAGGGAGCUUGCUCCUGGAUUCAGCGGCGGACGGGUGAGUAAUGCCUAGGAAUCUGCCUGGUAGUGGGGGAUAACGUCCGGAAACGGGCGCUAAUACCGCAUACGUCCUGAGGGAGAAAGUGGGGGAUCUUCGGACCUCACGCUAUCAGAUGAGCCUAGGUCGGAUUAGCUAGUUGGUGGGGUAAAGGCCUACCAAGGCGACGAUCCGUAACUGGUCUGAGAGGAUGAUCAGUCACACUGGAAGUGAGACACGGUCCAGACUCCUACGGGAGGCAGCAGUGGGGAAUAUUGGACAAUGGGCGAAAGCCUGAUCCAGCCAUGCCGCGUGUGUGAAGAAGGUCUUCGGAUUGUAAAGCACUUUAAGUUGGGAGGAAGGGCAGUAAGUUAAUACCUUGCUGUUUUGACGUUACCAACAGAAUAAGCACCGGCUAACUUCGUG